rnacentral:rRNA from 1 species
AGAGUUUGACCCUCGGCUCAGAUUGAACGCUGGCGGCAUGCUUUACACAUCGCAAGUCGAACGGCAGCAUAGGUGCUUGCACCUCGACGGCGAGUGGCGAACGAGUGAGUAAUAUAUCGGAACGUGUCCGGAAGUGGGAGAUAACGCAGCGAAAGUUGCGCUAAUACCGCAUAUGCCCUGAGGGAGAAGGAGAGAUCGCAAGACCUUUCGCUUUCGGAGUGGCCGAUAUCGGAUUAGCUAGUUGGUGAGGUAAAGGCCUACCAAGGCGACGAUCCGUAGCUGGUCUGAGAGGACGACCAGCCACACUGGGACUGAGACACGGCCCAGACUCCUACGGGAGGCAGCAGUGGGGAAUUUUGGACAAUGGGGCGCAAGCCUGAUCCAGCCAUGCCGCGUGAGUGAAGAAGGCCUUCGGGUUGUAAAGCUCUUUCGGACAGAAAGAAAUCCUAUUCGUUAAUACCGGAUGGGGGAUGACGGUACUGUAAGAAGAAGCACCGGCUAACUACGUGCCAGCAGCCGCGGU